GUGCUGUGCAUGUUCACAGGCGUAAAACGGACGUCUUUUUUUACUAUUCAAACAUGCAAAUCAAUUCCCGCGCAAACUGACCUGCACUACAUCUUGCUGCAAUGCAAGUCAACGCAAAAUCCGCUGCAUGCAUGCACGAGGGUUGCUUAGCUGGAUAGCAUAAGUGUUGCCCUGGCUAACCCCCUUGGUGGUCUGCAGCCACUGUUGAAGAACAUUUCAUCAACAUCCACUAAAUGCUACAAGCAUUUGUAAUGCAUUUCUCUAAAAAAUGCUCCGUGUUUAAAGUGGUGCUCAGCGCCCUACUUAUUGUAGCUCUGCUGCAGCUUUUAUAUCUAUCCUUCCUCUCAAAACUGCAUGGCAAACAGCAGCGCUACAAAUAUUCAGAGCUUUUUGGCUCCAAAAAGAACGCAAACCAAGGAGAGAAGAACCCCAGACGGGAACAUCUCAGAUACUCUUUAUCCACAGGUGGGAUCUUCGAUGGGAGCGGACAGUAUCGAGUGUAUAAAAACCUAAUUAAAAGCGACUUUUCGACCAAUCAGAAGCCAGGCGCUGAUCCCAGAUCGCACCACUUGGCUUUAGCGACGCACACGACUAUCAACAAUCUUCACCAUUUAAACUCUUUAUUGGAGCGCUGGAAGAAUCCAAUCUCUGUCGCUAUUUUCGCUAAUGGCGAAGAUGUUAAAUUCGCGACAGCCAUCGUCUACGCGCUUAGCCUGUUUUGCCCACAGGUUCAAGCACUGGUAGACUUCCAUCUUGUCUGCCAUUCUGGUGAAAUGGCCACUUUUCCAGAUCAAGAUCGAGAGCAUUUUGUUGGCCUCCAGGAGGUGGGCUGUCCUGCCGUAUUCGCCAAACUCGAAUCCCACAGAGAUAAAUAUAAAAACUACGCCAUUGGCAGCAACGUUUCGUACCCCAAUAACCUUCUCCGCAAUGUGGCCCGCAGCGGCACAGACGCGGCCUACAUCCUAGUCAUCGAUAUCGACAUGAUACCCAGUGCCAAUCUUCACCAUCAGUUUGUGACCAUGCUAAUGAGACGUGAACCGGCAGAGGACGAAGUUCUGGUGCUUCCAGCUUUCGAAAUCCGACACAUUCGUAAAAUGCCGGCCUCGAAGCCGGAGCUGGUGCAGCUUUAUCAGGUGGGCGAGGUGCGGCCAUUUUAUGAUGAACUCUGCCCUCGCUGUCAGGCUCCCACUAACUACUCGCUGUGGGUUAACCUGGCCAGUAAAAGCUCAGGCCCGCUGGAGGUUUCCUACACUAUAAACUGGGUGGACCCCUGGGAGCCGUUCUACAUCGGUGCUCGAUCCGUUCCUCUGUAUGAUGAGAGCUUCAGGCAGUACGGCUUUAACCGCAUCAGCCAGGCCUGUGAGCUUCACAUCGCAGGUUACCGCUUUUCUGUGGUCAGCAAUGCGUUUCUCCUGCACAAAGGGUUUAAGGUCCAGGGAGAGUUUCACAGCAGAAAAGACGAGGAGAACCGCAAGAACCGAAUCCUCUUCCGCAGCUUCAAGGAGAGCCUGAAGGCCAAAUAUCCAACCUCGCCUCGCCGCUGCUGAGAAAACAGACAACACUACAGUCAAAUCCUCAACAUCUUCCAGACUUCACCUAGAAGAAUCACAGAUGUACAAAACUGAACAAACACUGUCUGUAUUUUCAAGUACUUUCAGAAACUGUACUGUCAAAGGGGACACUCAUGAAUGCUACAUUUAUUUAUAAGGGUAUGAUGCGUAUUUACAGCAUAAGAGGCCCAAUGUUCUGCGCCUCUGUGAUGUUGUGACGCCAUAAGUACACGUGUUUGAGUUCCUGACGAGACGUCUUGCAAAGACCCAGAGAUUAGUUGUAAAGCUAUUAACAUAUUAAGGUCGAUAGACCACUUUUAUGCUAAUAAUGACUCCAAAGACGCUCAGAGAUCCUGAUGAUAUUACACACGCACAGGGAGCGCUGUCUGAAAAUCAUAUUAGUGUUUUAAUUAUAUCUGGCUGUGGAUUAGGAGUAGAUGACAAUAAAGUGACAUUAGAUUAUUAUGGCUGUAGUGACUGAAGCCACCACAUGGUGUGCAGAUGAAUACAACGAACGAGCAAUACUGUGUUUGUUAUAGAUACUGUAAGAGAUAUGAACACUUAAGGCUAAGUUACAAAAAGGAAACUUUUCUUUUCAUUGAGUGAUGCUGAAUUGGUGUGUUUUUACAUUUGUUUCCUCUCUGUGUUGCUAAUUAAUUUAAUAAUAAUAAUGUUUUGGAUAUUUAGCGCCAUUUAACCUGAAAGUUUUGUUUAAUAUUGGAAGCAUGUUGUGACAACUGAACACUGGAAAAACACUGUCAAUCCCGAAACCUUAUUGUGAUACUGAUGAUCAAAUGAUUGUGUUUUAUAAAGUUGUGACAUAAAGUGAA